rnacentral:rRNA from 1 species
CUACGGGGUGCUGCAGUCGAGAAUCUUUCGCAAUGGGGGAAACCCUGACGAAGCGACGCCGCGUGUACGAUGAAGGCCUUCGGGUUGUAAAGUACUGUCACAAGGGACGAAAAGUAAUAGUGUUAAUAUCACUGUUACCUGACGGUACCUUGAGAGGAAGCCCCGGCUAACUCCGUGCCAGCAGCCGCGGUAAUACGGAGGGGGCAAGCGUUGUUCGGAUUUACUGGGUGUAAAGGGUGUGUAGGCGGCAUAGUAAGUGGGAUGUGAAAUCUCCGAGCUCAACUUGGAAACUGCAUUCCAUACUGCUAAGCUAGAGUACCGUAGAGGCAAAUGGAAUUCUUGGUGUAAGGGUGAAAUCUGUAGAUAUCAAGAAGAACACCAAUGGCGAAGGCAAUUUGCUGGACGGAUACUGACGCUGAGACACGAAAGCUAGGGUAGCGAACGGGAUUAGAUACCCCCGUAGUC